AACGAACGCUGGCGGCAGGCCUAACACAUGCAAGUCGAGCGGUAAGGCCCUUUCGGGGGUACACGAGCGGCGAACGGGUGAGUAACACGUGGGUGACCUGCCCUCAGCUCUGGGAUAAGCCUGGGAAACCGGGUCUAAUACUGGAUAUGACUCCAUGACGCAUGUUGUGGGGUGGAAAGCCUUGUGCGGCUGAGGAUGGGCCCGCGGCCUAUCAGCUUGUUGGGUGGGGUGAUGGCCUACCAAGGCGACGACGGGUAGCCGGCCUGAGAGGGCGACCGGGCCACACUGGGACUGAGACACGGCCCAGACUCCUACGGGAGGCAGCAGUGGGGAAUCUUGCGCAAUGGGCGAAAGCCUGACGCAGCGACGCCGCGUGAGGGAUGACGGCCUC
rnacentral:rRNA from 1 species